UUCUUAUAACACCUUAAAAUACAGCAGGAACACAUGAUUUUCUCUUCCUGAAGCAUGGGACCGAUAUUGUAGCUUACCCUCCAGGGCAGGAUAAUUUGCUCAUUGUGGAUUAGUUGCCUUCAGCAGAUGAAAACUCCUGAAAACAAUGGAAAUCAAGGAGUCAGAAUGAACGUCAAUGCCAUUGUUUUCAAUAAGCCUCACAAAUCAAGCAUGGAAAAGAGAUUGCUGCUGCAGAGAGAGCCGCAAUAAUGUUCAUCAAGCAUCAUUGCUGCAUAAUUCAGUGUGCACCAAUGAAUGUAGAAGGUACUGGAAGACCUACAGGAGCAACUAAAUGAGCCUUGAGAAGCCGUAGGUGUUGAAGAUGGGUUUUGAAGGGCGAAGAGUCUAUAGCCACAGCACUGUGAAUGUACUCAAUCUCUAGUCUCAGAAGCUAAGCAGGAUCCAGCCCGGUUAGUACUUGGAUGGAAGACCACCUGGGAAUACUGGAUGCAAUGGGCUAAAAAAUAAGAAUAAAUGAAUAAAGACUAAGACUGAAGAGAAUCUUUUUGCAUGACUGAGAAGAGGAAGACAUAGGAGGACAAUAUUACUGUCUGUGCAAAGAGCAAGAGGGGAGAUCCACAGGAGGAGUCCACACAACUGUGAAUUGGUGCAGCAGCACCGAAGGGAAGGCAAGUAUGACUCAGAAUCCUAAAAAAUGAGGAAAGAGAGACCCACACCUCGAUGUCAUGGGGCUCCCAGUCUAGUGAAUGACACACGUCAACAGGCAAGUAUGUCCAAUGAGAUAAGCCCUCUGACCGGAAAAAAAUGGGAUGCUUAUGGGAAUGUGUAAAAAGGUCCCCUCAUCCUAUUGUGAGGUCAAGAGAGGCCUCCUGGAAGAAGAGACAUGUAAGCCAAACUUAAGAACCAGGAGAAAUUAGUGACAAAACAGAGCAGAAAAAUUCUUUUCACUAUGGGUAAAAAGAAUAGGAGAAGACAAACCCAGAGCAGAGCAUGGGGGAUUGCCAGGCCCAGACAGGGAGCGUGUGACUGAGUCAUGAAGCGUGCUCGGAAGUGUAGCUCCCUCCUCACUCAGAACUGGCAGUCCGGCUGUGGGCCUAAGGUUUCUCCACGCAGGCCAAAUUCUCUCCCUUCUUGGUGCACUUCCAAAAGAGGCUGAGGUCAACUCUCCUACCCCUUUUAUUUAGAGCCUAUCUUCCCCGUUGACCUAGAAAAAUGGUGACAAACUUUAUAGGUGUUGUUUCUUCCAGGAGACGUACAGGGUCUUCAUACAUGGCCUGACCUAACUCCCAGAGUUCCCAAGAGAGGUAUGCAGACUGGUACCCUGAUUGUGACAUUAGUCACAGCCCUUCCCAUAUUUUGCCUUACAGAUCUUAUUUCUCCCUCUCUCCUCUCAUAGGUUACUUGAGGACAUGGCAUUUCCUCUCCCUCUUUUUGUAUAAAUUUAGGGAAUACAAGUGGAGUUUUGUUACCUGGAUGAAAGAGGUGAAGUUCGGGUCUUUAGUGUAAUUCUCACCUGAAUAAUGUACAUUGUAUCCAUUAAGUAAUUUCUCAUCCCUCAUGCCCAGUCUCCCACCCUUCCAAGUCUCCAGUGUCUAUUAUUCUACUCUCUAUGUCCAUGUGAACACAUUAUUUAUCUCCCACUUAUAAGUGAGAACAUGCAAUACUUUACCUUCUGCUUCGGAGUUAUUUCACUUAAAAUAAUGACUUCUAGUUCCAUUCACAUUGAUGCAAGAGACAGGAUUUCAUUUAUUUUUAUGG
rnacentral:lncRNA from 10 species